GCUGGCGACCGACCAUAGCAAGAGUGAACCACCUGAUCCCUUCCCGAACUCAGAAGUGAAACCUCUUAGCGCUGAUGGUAGUGUGGGAUUACCCAUGUGAGAGUAAGUCAUCGCCAGCU
rnacentral:rRNA from 1 species